rnacentral:sRNA from 1 species
AUCCCCCAAACCAAGGGGGGAUGAGAACCACCGACCGGGGUUCGACAACUGGCGCAGCCAGUUGGACAGACGACGAGCCUGCGAGGAGACAGCCCGCAGGGCGAGCGCAGCGAGUCAAUCCCCCCUCACCGCCA